GAUGGGCGUGGUGGUGCACACCUGUAAUUCCAGUGACUCUGGAGGCUGAGGCAGGAGGAUCGAAAGUUUGAGGCUGGCCUCAGGAGCUUAGCGAGACCCUGUCUCAA
rnacentral:sRNA from 1 species